GACGUGAGGGCGCGAGCGUUGUCCGGAUUUAUUGGGCGUAAAGAGCGCGCAGGCGGCUUGGCAAGUCGGGUGUGAAAUCCCGGGGCUCAACCCCGUGACUGCAUCCGAUACUGUCAGGCUAGAGGUAGGUAGGGGAGAUCGGAAUUCCUGGUGUAGCGGUGAAAUGCGCAGAUAUCAGGAGGAACACCGGUGGCGAAGGCGGAUCUCUGGGCCUUACCUGACGCUCAGGCGCGAAAGCUAGGGGAGCGAACAGG
rnacentral:rRNA from 1 species